UACGUAGGGGGCGAGCGUUACUCGGAUUUACUGGGCGUAAAGGGGGCGUAGGCGGCUGUGUAAGUCCGGUGUGAAAACUCCCGGCUCAACCGUGGGACUGCGCUGGAAACUACACGGCUUGAGGACGGUAGAGGGAGACGGAACUGCUGGUGUAGGGGUGAAAUCCGUAGAUAUCAGCAGGAACGCCGGUGGAGAAGUCGGUCUGCUGGGCCGUAACCGACGCUGAGGCACGAAAGCUAGGGGAGCGAACCGG
rnacentral:rRNA from 1 species